UACGUAGGGUGCAAGCGUUGUCCGGAAUUAUUGGGCGUAAAGAGCUCGUAGGCGGUCUGUCGCGUCGGCUGUGAAAACCCGGAGCUCAACUCCGGGCCUGCAGUCGAUACGGGCAAACUGGAGUACUGCAGGGGAGACUGGAAUUCCUGGUGUAGCGGUGAAAUGCGCAGAUAUCAGGAGGAACACCGGUGGCGAAGGCGGGUCUCUGGGCAGUAACUGACGCUGGAGGAGCGAAAGCGUGGGGAGCGAACAGGA
rnacentral:rRNA from 1 species